rnacentral:lncRNA from 10 species
UUUAUACACAGUAUUUCCCUUAAUCAUCACAAAAAACCUGUGUAGUAGGUAUCAGGCCCACCAUUUUAUAGAGGAGUGAACUGAAGCCCCAGAGGUUAAACUCCCAGCUAGCAAAUGGGGGAGCCAGGGUCUGCCUCCCAAGCCUGGGUGAUAGGGCUCUGUCAGAACUCUCCAAAAGAGAAGGGGCAUAAAUCACAGGUCUAUCCAGGGAGCGGAGGGAGAGGGGGAGUGCCCCACACAGUCACAGCAGCAGGGCAGGAGGAGGAUGGGGGCUGGGGGCAGCGGAGGACAGAUGGGAGCUCCUGUUAGGAGCCACGUUUCCUCGGCUGGGAACCCCUACUGCUGAGUCUCUGCAACAGCGAUGCCAGAGCCCUAAGCUGCCGUGUAAGGCAUCUGACUACGCUGAAGCCACUACAUUGGAAAGGUCACAUGGAGGAGCUCCAGCUGACAGUCUCGGAGGAGCUCAGCUUCAAGCCAUCCCUGCAAGGUAUCAGCCAUAUAAAUGAAUCAGCCCAGCUGCCAGUCAAGUAUCUUUGCAUGGCUUCCAUCAGUGCCUCAUGAAACGGAAGAUUGACUAGCCAAGACUUGCCCAAAUUCCUGACCCACAAAAUCAUGAGAUAUAAUAAAAUGGUUGUUAUUUUAAGCCACUAAGCA